CCUGCCGGAGACCACUGCUAUGGGGGUCCGACUAAGCCAUGCGAGUCAUGGGGGUGUCCCUUUGGGACACCACCGGCGGACGGCUCAGUAACACGUCGGUAACCUACCCUCGGGAGGGGGAUAACCCCGGGAAACUGGGGCUAAUCCCCCAUAGGCCUGAGGUACUGGAAGGUCCUCAGGCCGAAAGGGGCUCUGCCCGCCCGAGGAUGGGCCGGCGGCCGAUUAGGUAGUUGGUGGGGUAACGGCCCACCAAGCCGAAGAUCGGUACGGGCCAUGAGAGUGGGAGCCCGGAGAUGGACACUGAGACACGGGUCCAGGCCCUACGGGGCGCAGCAGGCGCGAAACCUCCGCAAUGCGGGCAACCGCGACGGGGGGACCCCCAGUGCCGUGGCACAGCCACGGCUUUUCCGGAGUGUAAAAAGCUCCGGGAAUAAGGGCUGGGCAAGGCCGGUGGCAGCCGCCGCGGUAAUACCGGCGGCCCGAGUGGUGGUCGCUAUUAUUGGGCCUAAAGCGUCCGUAGCCGGGCCCGUAAGUCCCUGGCGAAAUCCCACGGCUCAACCGUGGGGCUUGCUGGGGAUACUGCGGGCCUUGGGACCGGGAGAGGCCGGGGGUACCCCUGGGGUAGGGGUGAAAUCCUAUAAUCCCAGGGGGACCGCCAGUGGCGAAAGGCGCCCGGCUGGAACGGGUCCGACGGUGAGGGACGAAAGCCAGGGAGCAAACCGGAUUAGAUACCCGGGUAGUCCUGGCUGUAAAGGAUGCGGGCUAGGUGUCGGGCGAGCUUCGAGCUCGCCCGGUGCCGAAGGGAAGCCGUUAAGCCCGCCGCCUGGGGAGUACGGCCGCAAGGCUGAAACUUAAAGGAAUUGGCGGGGAGCACUACAAGGGGUGGAGCGUGCGGUUUAAUUGGAUUCAACGCCGGGAACCUCACCGGGGGCGACGGCAGGAUGAAGGCCAGGCUGAAGGUCUUGCCGGACACGCCGAGAGGAGGUGCAUGGCCGCCGUCAGCUCGUACCGUGAGGCGUCCACUUAAGUGUGGUAACGAGCGAGACCCGCGCCCCCAGUUGCCAGUCCUCCCCGCUGGGGAGGAGGCACUCUGGGGGGACCGCCGGCGAUAAGCCGGAGGAAGGAGCGGGCGACGGUAGGUCAGUAUGCCCCGAAACCCCCGGGCUACACGCGCGCUACAAUGGGCGGGACAAUGGGAUCCGACCCCGAAAGGGGAAGGGAAUCCCCUAAACCCGCCCCCAGUUCGGAUUGCGGGCUGCAACUCGCCCGCAUGAAGCUGGAAUCCCUAGUACCCGCGUGUCAUCAUCGCGCGGCGAA
rnacentral:rRNA from 1 species